rnacentral:rRNA from 1 species
CUACAGGCUUAACACAUGCAAGUCGAGGGGAAACGACAUCGAAAGCUUGCUUUUGAUGGGCGUCGACCGGCGCACGGGUGAGUAACGCGUAUCCAACCUGCCCAUCACUUGGGGAUAACCUUGCGAAAGUAAGACUAAUACCCAAUGACGUCUCUAGAAGACAUCUGAAAGGGAUUAAAGAUUUAUCGGUGAUGGAUGGGGAUGCGUCUGAUUAGCUUGUUGGCGGGGUAACGGCCCACCAAGGCGACGAUCAGUAGGGGUUCUGAGAGGAAGGUCCCCCACAUUGGAACUGAGACACGGUCCAAACUCCUACGGGAGGCAGCAGUGAGGAAUAUUGGUCAAUGGGCGAGAGCCUGAACCAGCCGAGUAGCGUGCAGGAUGACGGCCCUAUGGGUUGUAAACUGCUUUUAUAAGGGAAUAAAGUGAGUCUCGUGAGACUUUUUGCAUGUACCUUAUGAAUAAGGACCGGCUAAUUCCGUGCCAGCAGCCGCGGUAAUACGGAAGGUCCGGGCGUUAUCCGGAUUUAUUGGGUUUAAAGGGAGCGUAGGCCGGAGAUUAAGCGUGUUGUGAAAUGUAGACGCUCAACGUCUGCACUGCAGCGCGAACUGGUUUCCUUGAGUACGCACAAAGUGGGCGGAAUUCGUGGUGUAGCGGUGAAAUGCUUAGAUAUCACGAAGAACUCCGAUUGCGAAGGCAGCUCACUGGAGCGCAACUGACGCUGAAGCUCGAAAGUGCGGGUAUCGAACAGGAUUAGAUACCCUGGUAGUCCGCACGGUAAACGAUGGAUGCCCGCUGUUGGUCUGAAUAGGUCAGCGGCCAAGCGAAAGCAUUAAGCAUCCCACCUGGGGAGUACGCCGGCAACGGUGAAACUCAAAGGAAUUGACGGGGGCCCGCACAAGCGGAGGAACAUGUGGUUUAAUUCGAUGAUACGCGAGGAACCUUACCCGGGCUUGAAUUGCAGAGGAAGGAUUUGGAGACAAUGACGCCCUUCGGGGCCUCUGUGAAGGUGCUGCAUGGUUGUCGUCAGCUCGUGCCGUGAGGUGUCGGCUUAAGUGCCAUAACGAGCGCAACCCCUCUCCUUAGUUGCCAUCAGGUCAAGCUGGGCACUCUGGGGACACUGCCACCGUAAGGUGUGAGGAAGGUGGGGAUG